CAGACGCUCCCGCCCCGAACAGCUGAAAGCCGGAGACUAUAAACUACCGGUUCAGCCGAGCGUUAAUUGCCUCUAAUCUUCAAAGCCGAGGGACCCGGGAAAACAGGGAAUCAACGGUCCGGAUCGUAACAUAAACAAGAUGUGGUUUGGCUACUGUUACAGCCUGUAACGUACAUUCUUGUGGUGUGAUUUUGGGCCGAUCGGGCGAUCUGGCGCUUAGCUGUCUCCGAGAGGGUUCCACGAGGCUGUCGUCAAUGUGCACGCCAUGGAGUACAGGAAGCCGGGAGACAGGUGUGGACCCAUCUCUCGCUAAUCUCGCCAAUUAAAGCGUUGAGGAGGAGUGAAAUAAUCGAAGCGAGUGCGGAAGGCAUUUACAGUAGAUCAAAAGAAGCACAACAGAAUAAAUGAAAAACUACACACAAACAAAGAUGGACAAAUAACUCACGUGCAUAAGGAGAAAAACUGUGCAAUUCCAAAAUUAAAUAAAUAAUAUUGAAAGUAUGCGUAUAGAGUCCUUGAAAGUGAGUCCAUAGAUUGUGGAACAGUCAUGGAGCACUAUAACACAGAAACAGGCCCUUUGGCCCAUCUAGUCCGUGCUGCCUGGUUCCAUCCACCUACACCAAAUGAUUUUGACAAGCUAAAACUCACCUGUAACAUAGAGGCAGACCCCCCAGAUCCAAAUACAUUUGAAUACUUACUUUUUAGAGAUGUGAGAAGCCAUUUUAGUCCCAGAGGUAACUAGUGACAAAUGAAAUUCGAGAUUGUUUAUUGACAUUCUUCAGUACACGAGGGCAAAGGGGAACAAACGAAUUGCUUUUCCAGAUCCAAUGCAACAUUAACGGAUGCAAUAAGAAUAAAAACACAAUAAAUAUAAAAAUAAAGGCAAUCGUAUAAAAUACAAUGUACAUCUAACUGUUGAGUGUGGCCGGAUAUUUAGCACGUAAGAUUAGCUUAAAUGUAGACACUUAGUGGCCACUCUAUUAGGUACACCUAUGCACUUGCUUUUUAAUGCAAAUAUCCAAUCAGCAAUCAUGUGGCAGCAAUUCGGUGCAUAAAAGCAUGCAGGCAUGGUCAAGAGGUACAGUUGUUCUUCAGACCAAAUAUCAGAUUGGGAAAGAGGUGUGAUCUAAGUGACUUUGACUAUGAAAUGAUUCUUGGUGCCAAAAGGGUGGUUUGCGUAUCUCAGAAACUGUCGAUCUCCUGAGAUUGUCACACAGAACAGUCUCUAGAGUUUACAGAGAAAAGUACAAAAAACAAAAAAAAUCCAGUGAGCAGCAGUUCUGUGAGUGAAUGAGAGAGGUCAGAGGCAUAUGGCCAGACUGGUUCAAGCUGACAGGAAGGUAACAGGAACUCAAAUAACCACUUAUUAGAAAAGUGAUGUGCAGAAGAGCAUCUCUGAACACACAACACAUCGAACUUUGAAGAGGCUGGGCUGCAGCAGCAGAAGACCAUGCUGGACUUCACUGCUGUACCUAAUAAAGUGGCCACCGAGUUUAUGUAUGUAAACUGGUGCAGGAGUAUCUGAACAUAAGGUGACUCUGACAGGAAAUGACAAAGAGUCUAUUGGCAAGAGGAACUCUACAGAAUAGCAGCGGGACAUACAAAGCCAUUGUAGAGUACUGAUUGUGCCAGUGUAGGCACGAGAAGUGGAGUGUAGCAUAAAAUGACAGGGCAUGAAUUCAUUAGAACAGGGAGUAGGAAGGGAUGAAGAGAGCCUCUCUCACUAAUUGUUCCAGGGAAAAAAAAUAUCUACAGUUCCUUUCUUGCCUCACCACAUCUAAUUGUUCCUUAAAUAUUUCCAGAGUUUUCCCCAGCCUGAUUUCAGAGAACAGCUGGCUGAUAGACAUUCAUUUAUAUUAUUUCUUUAUUAGGUCAUUUUUUUAAAAAAAGAACAUUAUUGUUCUCUUUUAUAACGCCAAUUGCUGUCCUCGUGGAGAUUCAAUGUUUAGGAAUGCAGUCUAAACAUCUGGUUUGGAGACCCCACCAGACUACAAAGAAAUGGGCGAUAUAUCGUUCAGAAAUUUGCAUACACUCCUACAAAAUAUACAUAAUUUAGUUGGUCUUGAAUUCGAAGAGUCAUGAAAAGAGAAAAAGAAUGUAUUAAUCACAUAGUGCAUCAGUAUGUAAACCACAGAUUAUGUAACCCUGCUAUAUAUCCAAUCCACAUGAGCCUCCUCUUUCCCUCCUUUGUCAAAACUAUCAACACGUUCUAUACUCAGCUGUCCCUUGUAUGAGAAAAGCGUGCUUUCUUUUGAAUGUAUCCAUAUUAUUCAAAUUGCCAACUCACGAAGAUCAGUCCAUUCUACAGCUUUAUCUAAUGUUCUUUUUGUAUACAAUGACACUUGUGUUAUCUGAUAGAAAAUAACUUCAGAAUUGGUGUAAGUACAAAUUGUCCUCAUCUUCUGAAGCAGAUAAUUUCUUCUACAUGCAAAUACAUUAGAUUAUGAAGACACGUAGUCCCCUUUUAUUGUCAUUUAGUAAUACAUGCUUUAAGAAAUGAUACAUUAUUUCCUCCGGUGUAAUAUUACAAAACACAGGACAAACCAAGACUGAAAAAACUGACAAAACCUCAUAACUAUACAUAUAGUUACAAACAGUGUAACAAUACCAUAACUUGAUGAAGAAAGUCCGUGAGCACAGUAAAGUUCAAAGUUUCUCAAAUGUCCCACAUCUCACGCACACGGGAGAAGGAAGAAAAACUCUCCCUGCCAUGCUGACCACAAUCUGAGUGAGUCAUCCAAAAACUUAGAGCUCUGAUCAGCUCUCCGACACCGAGUACUGAGCGCCAUCUCUGUCCAAGUGAUUCAACCUCCUUCUCAGUCGCCAAAAGCAGGCAAGGCCGGGGAUUUUGAGGCCUACCCUCCGAAAGAUUCCUGACCACACAGUAACGACAGCAGCGAACGGGCGUUUCAGAAAUUUCUCCAGAUGUUCCUCUGUGCUUUCACAUCCAUUCUCCAUCAAAUCAGAAUUGUCCACGGCCCCAAUUUAACAGAUACGACAUCAUUUUUCAUCAGAGAGCUGCGCACGCGCGGCGCGCUGCCAUCUUCUCCUCCCACCGAAUAUUGCUAACUCUACUUGAAAGAAUUCCUGGAGUUUUAAUCACAUGAUCUCAUUUCUCCAAACACAUCACUGCUGUCUUCCUGUCCUCCCCACCCAACACUUACAACAAAUUGGAGAGUAGACAAGCUCUUCAAUACAUGAUUGGGUGCUUCUUGGUUGUUGGACAAAUUAUCUUCCCCUCUCUUCGCUGAUCAUUUUUACGACUAAGUACCGAAAAAAUGGAAACAAAGGCCACAUUAUUUUAAUCAUCAGAGAGUGGUUGCUGCAGAGGUUUCAAAAUGAAUUUUUUAAAUUCUUGGAGUCCGGGACAUCUCCACAGCCUGGUACGAAUUUAUGUAGAUUCUUGUUUCUCUUUGAAAAUUCUUCAAGUUGCAUCAUGUACACUGUAAUGGAUUUUGUAAACCUUGUUCACCCUGCCCAGUAUGGAAAUGAUUCUCCACCGAUUACCUACUGCCAGUUACACAGCUGGUGUUUAAGGCAGCAAUGAAGAUCCUUCAUCUCUGGCGGUGCUCAGGGCUCCCUUCAUCAUGCCAGUAACUUCCUCUCUGUUUUCACUACUGUCAGUCAUGCAAGUCCCAGGUAGAGACUCAGGAAUACCAUUGCACAGCUGUAGAAGUAUUCUUCAUUGUUGUUUCCAUAACAAUUAUUUUGACCAGUCAGGAUUGUUAGUCCUGAGCUGAACCCCCAAACCUGGAGAACCGGUGGACCUCUACCCUUUGAGCUGUUUGGCAUGGGUGACCCUACCAAGAGCCAAAGCAUAAAACCCUGACUUCAGCCAACAUAGCUCUAUGGGUCAUUGAGGCACACAAGGCCCCAAACCACGACAAGGUUGUAGUCCUCUUGGAGGUUCUCUACUGAUUAAUAUAGGUUUUAUAGAGGUCAUUCACAUCCACUAAAAAUGGACAAUAUGGGAGCUCCUUUUGAAUAAUUCAUCAGAAGAACUGCACUUCUGACAAAGUAACACCCUCUCAGUUCUGCAUCAGUUGAACCCAAGGGGUCUGCGCAAAGUGAUGUACAGAGAAUGAAGACUUCAAAGACUGCAAAUGCUGGAAUCUGGAGCAACACAUGAGAUGCUGGAGGAACUGAAAGUGUCAAGCUCUAUCUAUUAAGUGAAAAGGAUAGUUGACAGUUAGGGCUGAGAGACUUCAAUUGGACCAGAUCAGUCCAUGUGAGAGAUCUUGACGUCUUGGCUCGAAACACUGACUGUCCACUUCCCAGCAUAGAUGCUGAAAUCCUCCAGCAUCUCAAAUGUUCUGAGUAGGAUUCCUUAUAUAAGGCAAUCUAGAAAUAGGGCUCACUGUUUUAAAGUGAGUGAUCACCCCUCUAUAACAGAUAUGAUGUGAAUUAUUUUCAUUGAAGGUCUUUUCUGAGGGCAUCGGAAACAGGCAAUCUGAAUCAUUGCAAAGGGAAGGUAUGUAGAAUCUUGAAAAACAAAGGUUUGAAUGAUUGCUGUGGAUCUGAGGUUACAGAGAGAUCGGUCAUCAUCUUGAAAAGCAGCUGAGCAGGCUUGAAGGUUCAAAUUAUGCCCUCCCAAUUUUACGCACAUCCGUAUAUUCAUCUCAUGAUCUUCACAGAGCAAGUCCAUUCUCCAAUUAAUUCUCCAUUACCAUCAACUCCUCCCAAUCAACAAUGCACGUGUCAAUUCACAGUGACUAAUUAACCUACCAGUCUGCACAUGUUCUGGAGACUUGAAUGCCUGCAUUCAAAGUUCAAAAUAAAAUAAAUUUAUUAUCAAAGUACGUACUUGUCACUUGGGCGCGUGGCCAAGUGGUUAAGGCAUUGGACUAGCUACCUGAAGGUCAUGAGUUCGAGCCCCAGCCGAGGGAACGUGUUGUGUCCUUGAGCAAGGCACUUAAUCACACAUUGCUCUGCGAUGACACCGGUGCCAAGCUGUAUGGGUCCUAAUGCAUUGGUGCUGUGGAAAGGGGAGACUUGCAGCAUGGGCAACUGCUGGUCUUCCAUGGAGAGUGAAGACUUUCCAGGCGCAGAUCCAUGGUCUCGCAAGACUAAUGGAUGCCUUUACUUUACUUGUCACCAUAUACAACCCUGUCUUAAUUGUUAUCAUAAUAACUGCAGAGAUUUGUAAACUUGGUCAGCUCCAUCAUGACCAUUUGCCUCUGGAGUAUCCAGGACACCACCCCAAGGAGCAAUACCUCAAAAAAGCGGUGUCCGUCAUUAAGGACCCCCAUCACCCUUGUCAUGCCUUGUUCUCAUUGCUACCAUCAGGAAGAAGGUACAGAGCCUGAAGGCACACACUCAAUGAUUCAGGAACAGCUUCUUCCCUUCUGCCAUCCUAUUUCUGUAUGGAUGUAAAACCCACGAACACAACCUCAUGGCAUUUUUAUGUCUAUUUUUGCACUACUUAAUUAAUUAAACUAUUUUAUAUAUAAAUGCUUACUGUAAUUCACAUUUUUUCCAUUAUUGUGUAUUGCUGCCGCAAAGAGAACAAACUUCACAACAUAUGCCGGUAAUAUUAAACCUGAUUCUGAUUCUAAUUCAGAACAAUUGAUGCUGUUUAAUGUGGAGUGAAAGGGAUAUUUGACUAUAAUUUUAUGUAUGUUUGAGAUACAUUGAGUGAGCUGUACAUGUGUGAGAUACAUUAUAUGAGAUGUACAUGUGAGAUACAUAGUGUGAAAUACACGUGUGAGAUAUAUCAUUACGAGAUGUAUGUGUGAGCUACAUUGUUUGAGAUGUAUGUGAGAGAUACAUUGAUGAGAUGUAUGUGUGAGAUGUACAUGUGAGAGACACUGAGGCCACUAAUGUGGAAUAAAAAUAAAAUAAAAAGAAGAAAGGAAACUGCCACUGUUGGAAAUAUAAUCUUUGGCUCUGUAGUCAGCUUCUAUAAAAAGUUAGGUUUAUAUUUCUUUUCAUCAAAGACAUUGAUGUGUUAAUCCAAACAUUAACCUACUCCUUUCCUUAAUAAAUGAUAUACUCUGUUAUGCAUUUCCAGCUUUUAUUUGUGUCAAUAAGAUGCUUGCCAGCAAUUAUUCACCGAUCCCGGGGGUUGAUAGUAACUUGGAGCAGGGGAUUACGCUUCCUGAUCUGCAACAGUGCACAUGUUUUCAAUCUGACUUGUCUGAAGUCUUGGCACAGGGGAGCUGUGCUAAAGCCUUCAAUAUUCCCAGCACGGAAUAACUCAUUUCCAUUGGCUGCAUGAAAAAGCCUCUCAUGCCGGUGAAUGAUACGACUCAUCAGAGGGGGAAUAGGGGAUGCUAAAAAAGUUCCUUUUCACUUUUCAGUCACAAAACUGGAGUCUGCACUUGUUCCUAUUUUGUAUGGCUAUGAGGUGGGAAGUUAUUGGACCGGCUAGCAUUGACAGUUUUCCCAAUCACUCUUCUCUCUUUUUCCAUUCCCCAUUUUGGUUACCCUCUCAACCCUUCUCUCCCCCUCCCCUGCCCCAUGAACUGGUAAUCACCUCUGUCUGGUACCCCGCCUUCCUUUUCUUAUUUGGUCCACUGUUCUCUCCUAUUAGAUUCCUUCUUUGUUGGCUGAUGGAUGAUAAAGAAAAAAUGGAGGGCGAUGUGGGAGGGUACGUUUAGAUUAAUCUUGGGGUAGGUUAUAGGAUUGCACAACAUUGUGAAUUGAAGGGCCUGAACUGCAUUGUACCGUCCUAUGUUCUGCACUGCUGUGCAAAAGUCUUAGGCAUAUAUAUAUAUGCGUGUGUGUGUGUGUGUGUGUGUGUGUGUGUGUGUGUGUGUGUUUGUGUUUCCAGUUACCAAAUAACAUUUAAUACUAAUGAGCUAAUACAAACCUAAGUACUCUUAUUUCUGUUUCUCAAACACCUUCCUAUUUUAACAAAUAUACAGUAUUGUGCAAAAAUCUUAUAUAUGUGCAUAAGACCUUUGCACAGUACUGUAUUUGUCGAUGUGGAACAGAGAGUGAGUUUGUGAAUCUUACGGGAGCAAGGGAUGUUGGGAAUGGUGAGGAUGGAGCGUUGCGGGAGGGUGUGAGACAGGUCGCAGAGAAGGAGUGCCAGGGACGGGUGCAGACACACCCAGCCCUGAGACACCAGGCAAGGUCAUUUGAUUCCAAACAACUAGUUUAUUGAUCGUUACAGAAUAUCUCUUUGAUGCUUCCCACUCCAUUCUCUCUCUCUUCCCCUUUUCCCAGCCAUGAUUCUCCUCUCCAUGCCCCCUUCCCACUCCCAGUCCACAAUAGAGACCCAUAUCAGAAUCAGAUUUAUCAUCACUCACAUUUGCCAUGAAAGCUGUUUUUAUUUUGUGGCACCAGUACAGUGCAAUGCAUAAAAUUACAACAGUACUGUGCAAAAGUCUUAAGCACCCUAGCUGUAAGUAUGUGCCUGAGACUUUUGCACAGUAUUGUCUGUUCAACCCUUUCACUCUUCCAUCUAUCACCUCCCAGUUUCUCACACCCACCCAGCAUCCCCCUCACCUGGCCUUGCCUAUCACUUGUCAGGUUGUACUCCCCCCCGCCCCAACCUUUUUAUUCUGAUUUCUGCUCUCUUCCCUCCAGUCCUGAUGAAGAGUCUCAGCUUGAAACAUCGACUGUCUAUUCCCCUCCAUAGCUGCUGCCUGACUUGCUGAGUUCUCCUGGCAUUUUGCAUGCGUUGCUCAAGAUUUUCAGCAUCUGCUGAAUCUCCUACGCCCAAUAUUUAUUACCCAACCCCUAAUAUCUCUUCUGAAGGUGAUGGUGAGCUACAGCCCUGAAUCACCAGAGCCACCGAGGGGACAGCUCUGGUGAAUGACCCCUGGUUUUCACUCUUUUGGUUGGAGGGCUGGUGGAGUUGGAGAGAAAGGUCCUAGAAUUGUUUUCACUUUGUGGCUUUGUUUC